UUAUGUGGGAACAGGAUGUGUAUUCAACAGAACUGCUUUGUAUGGAUAUGAACCUCCUAUAAAGAGAAAACAAUAUACUGGUUUCUUAGCGUCAUUGUGUGGUGGAUCUCGGAAGAAGAGUUCGAAAUCAAACAAGAAGGGUUCCGACAAAAAGAAAUCAAGCAAGAAUGUGGACAAUACUGUACCGAUAUUCAAUCUAGAAGAUAUAGAAGAGGGCCUUGAAGGUACUGGAUUUGAUGAUGAGAAGUCUCUGCUCAUGUCCCAAAUGAGCCUAGAGAAACGAUUUGGCCAAUCAAAUGUUUUUGUUGCCUCCACGCUAAUGGAACAUGGUGGUGUCCCUCACUCAGCAACUCAUGAGUCUCUUCUGAAAGAAGCUAUACAUGUUAUCAGCUGUGGUUAUGAGGAUAAGACAGAUUGGGGAAAUGAGAUUGGAUGGAUUUAUG
rnacentral:misc_RNA from 1 species